rnacentral:lncRNA from 1 species
UCAGGCAAUUUAUUAAAAUAUAAUUUUCUUAUUUUUUUACUUUCUUCUAUAUUAUAUGUUCCUUUAUAAUAAUAUUCUUUAAAUGCGCACGUAUACUCAUCUAUAUAGCAAAUAUUACAUAUUACUAAUUUUAGCAUUAAAUUUCUAAUCGUAUCUUUCUCUUUAUUUUGCUCUUCUUCUUCUGUUGUUAAACUACUAAAUUUUCUCUUAUAUCUAUUUCAUAUUUUUUCAAUAUUUCUGUUGGUAGUAUUUUAGUAGGUAUUGAUAUUCCUUCUAUUUUAUUAUCAGAUCUUAGUACUUUAUUACUUGUUUCGGCUAGGUUUAAAAAUCAUAAUUUUACUGUUUCUAUUAAUGUCUUUUCUAUAUAUUCUGGUGUAUUUGUUGUAUCUAUUUUAUUAUCUUAUAAUUAUUUUGACAUGUAUCCUACCCAUAGUUGUUUGUAUCUAUUACACAGUCUAAAUCUAAAAAGUUGUAAUUAAUUAUUUAUUUUGGUGUCCAUUUAUUAUAUUUAUCUUUUGAAUUAUAUCUUUUAAACUUAUUUUUGUAAUUAUAGGUUGGUUUUCUUAUUUCUGAUGUACUAGGUAUUAUAUUUUAAUCUAGAGUAUUUACUUCUGUAUUUAUUAGUUCUAGAUUUUCUUUAUUAAUUACUUUUUAUUUUUUCAUUAAUUUUUAGUUUUCCUAUGUUUUCUUGAAUUUCUGUAUAUGUUUCACUAUCUUCCGAAUCAUAAUUAUAUGUUUCUUCAGCAUCUAUUGUAUUUAUUUCUAAUUUACUGGUUUCUGAUUUUUUUUUUCUAACUUUUCUUUAAAUUGAUUUAUCUCAAUUAAUAAUUUUUGUUCUUUAUCUUUUUCUUCUUUUUCUUUUUGUCUUUCUUCAUACAGGGCUUUUAGCAUUUGUAGUUCUUUCUCUAAUUUAGCAUUCCUACUAUUUUUAGUCUCUUCUAUUUUUCGUAUUUCUUCUGUGGUUUGUUGUUUUAUUUUAUGUAUUUCUUUUUUCUGUCUAUCUCUUUGUUUUCUCUUUCUAUUCUUACCAUGGUUGUCAACUUAUCUUUUAAUUUUAAUUAUUCUUUUUCUAACAUUAAAUAAAAAUAUUCACCUAUUUUCUUAUAUCUCCUUCCUAAAUUAGAGAACACUAUUUUUAUUUUUAAUUCAUCAUGAUUUUCAUAUUUUUUUCAUCUAUUAUAAAUUCUUCUUUGUUCAUUUUAUUUAAAUGUAUAUAGGUUAUGUUGAUAUAUAUAUAUUUUAGACUAACUAUUGUUGAUUCUAAAUUUGAUAUUUCUUCUUUUUGUGCAUUUACUGAGUUUUUACUAACUCCGGCGAUUAUAUUAUAAUGUAGUCUUUCUAUCCUUAUUUUUAAUUCUUUUUCUUUGCGUUUGUCAGAUAUUAUUUGUUUUAAUUCUUUAUAUUGUUGUGGUUUUUGUACGUUCUUCAUCUAAACAAAUAUUAUAAAUAUUGUUUUGGUGGAUAUCUAAAUCUAAUUUUUAUCGUAAUUAUUAAAUAAAUCCAAAUAUAUACAACUUUCGUAACUUUAAUUAGCAUAGGCUCUGAUACCAAUUGUAGGGGGUGUGGAUAACUUGGGUAAUAAAUAAAUCUAUUAUAGUUCUAAUGGAUCUAUUUUUAUUUGCACGUGGAUAUUUAUUAACUUCUCUAAACAUUUUUAUUUUUAGUGUAUUUACAUAACAAAAUAUGAUCAUUUUAGAUUACUAUAUACUAGAUUAUUCUUAAAGAACAUAUUCUUCGGUCACUAUUAUCAUGGUAAUCUGGAUACUUUUCCCUUACACAUCGCCUCUACUCUGGCUACUCCCCUAUCACGACUUUUUUGCCUCACCGAUUUUACCUAUAGGAUAGCAUAGUUCUUAGAGAUUUUUCUCUUUUUCCACUUUGCUAAUAAACUUCUUAACAUGCUAUUUUUUGAAUAAUUCUACUAUAAAGCAACUAACAUGAACUUAUUUUAUCAUAUCAUGAUUGUUAGGAAUUUAUGAAUUUAGCUAUUCAUAAUCAUAAAUAAAUAUACCUGUUCUGGAAGGUUUGAUAAUUCUAAGCUUUGUUCAUCCAUAGCUUUUUCCAUUAAAAUAUACCUGUUUUUUUAAUAAAUAGUCAAAAUAUUUAUUGUGGAUAAGAGAGAUUUUUUGCUUCAACGCAUGAAGGCUUGACCUUUCUGCUGCCUUCCAUGCCUCUAUUUAUAAUGAGAAAAUGAAUAAUUUACAUGGAUCCCAAGUAUUCUUCCUGAUAUUACAAAGUCAAAAAAGGAGGCUAUCCUAAUAUAUCUCUUUACACGUUUCCUAAAUAAUUACAACUUUCAAAAAGUCUUAUAAAGACAAAGAAAACAUUAUGGCAAGUGCCAAAAAGUCUUAAAGUAAAUAGUAUAAUUUACGUAAAGUUUUUAAGAAAAAAUAUCUAUUCUUUCAUAUGUCACUUUCAACUUUAAUUAACUUGUCUCUCUAUUAUUGCUCUGUUGUUAUUUUCUUCUUGUCGUAUUUGCUGCUUCUCUAUCUUCUUUCCAGCUGGCAUGCUUAUCUUCUUGAUUCUUUUAUUCUAGGCAGACUUCUGGGAUAAUAUUAUCUUCUUCAUUACAUCUCGAACAUUAAUGAUCUGGAUAUUUGUGUCCAAUUAUCUUACAAUAUCUUGUUAAUAAUUUGUAUAAAAUAAAUUCUUUCCUCAUUGCUCUUGCAGUAGAUUAUUUUUCUGGGUUAAGUAACGUCAUUAUCCAUUGUCUAACAUCUUCUAAAUCUGCUAGUCAUAGUUUUUUUGAAUUUGAAUAAAUCAUCUGAUGGUCUCUUGAAUAAUAUCUCCAUAUUGGGUUUCCAUUGGUAUAAUUAUUUGAUAAUUCUUGAAUAAUUGUAGCUAGUCCAAUGAGUCGUUUAUUUGCAUAGAAAUCACGUAUCUCAAUUUUAAGUAUCUCUGGCUACUGCACAAUAUCUUUCGGUAUAAUCAUAUCUCUGGUUAAUCCUAUUUUUACAACUUUUAUAACUGGUUUGAUUUUGUCGUAUAAUAUCUCUGCUGGUGCAGUAUAACACUUUAUUUAAAAUAGAUUUCCUUUGGUUAUUCUUUUAUAGGUGGUGAAUAUUUUAUGUAAUUCUUCCAUAGUUGUUAGUUCUUCUCCGUCUUGGGUAUAUAUGAUAUUUAAUAAGCCACAGUCAAAAUAAGUUUUUAUUAAGCUUGAGUUGGUUUUGGGUAGUGCGAUUAGCUUGUUGUAACCUUGUAAUUUUUGGAUUAUAUAGUUUGUGUCUAGUUCUUGGGUAUCUGUAGCUCUAGGGUUAAGGUUUAGAAAAGCUUGUACUUUGUAGAUAUUUUUUAUAUAUUCUCAGGUUAUAUAGUUAUAAGCUUUUUUAUAUUGGUUCAGACUAUCUCGGUAUGUGGUAAUUUGUGGGGGUAGAAAUAAGGGGCCUUUUUGUGUUUUUGGUAUAAAUGGUUUCUCCAAUAUCUUAUUCAUGUUCAUGUUCUGGUAUCUUUGUCUACUAACUACUUUGCUUGUACCUACAAUUGUAGAUUGAUAAACGUUAUGGGUUUUAUGGNNNNNNNNNNNNNNNNNNNNNNNNNNNNNNNNNNNNNNNNNNNNNNNNNNNNNNNNNNNNNNNNNNNNNNNNNNNNNNNNNNNNNNNNNNNNNNNNNNNNNNNNNNNNNNNNNNNNNNNNNNNNNNNNNNNNNNNNNNNNNNNNNNNNNNNNNNNNNNNNNNNNNNNNNNNNNNNNNNNNNNNNNNNNNNNNNNNNNNNNNNNNNNNNNNNNNNNNNNNNNNNNNNNNNNNNNNNNNNNNNNNNNNNNNNNNNNNNNNNNNNNNNNNNNNNNNNNNNNNNNNNNNNNNNNNNNNNNNNNNCUUAUUUUUAAUAUCUUAUUUGGUAUUGGAUAAUUAUAUGUCAUAGUUUUUGCAUUUAGGUUUCUAUAAUCAAUAACCAUUCUACUUUUUCCUUUUUUUUGGUUCACUAUGUUUAUUUACUAUAAAUGUUGGACUAUUGUGUUUGCUAUUGCUUUUUUUGUAUAUACUAUUUUUCUAGUAUUUCAUCUAUAUGCAUUUUAAAUUCUUUUCAAUUGUCAAAAUUAUAUGUUAAUAGUUUUUGAGUUAUUAUGUUAUUUUUAUCUAUUAAUUCAAUUUUUAUGGUAGUUAUAUGUUUUUCCCAUCCUUUUAAUGGAUCUUCACUAUAUAAUUGUCUUAAUUUUUUCUUUAUUAUUUCCACCUUAUCUAUUGGAAAUAUAGUUAUUAUCAAAAAUACAACUAGUUCUACUGUGUCUUCUGUAUUUUUUAUAAUUUUUAACUUUUGUAUAAUUUUUUUACUUCCUUCUAUCCAAUCAGUUUUCUUUCUUAUUUUAUUAAUAACUCUUUUUGCUCUUACUUUUUGUUUACAUGGUGUUGUAAACCACCAAUCUGUUUUAGUUAUUAUAUGUGGGUAUAAUUUAUCUAAAAAUGGCGUUCCUAAAAGCAUAUCUUUUGAUGUCAGUUCAUAAUUAUAGAUUUCUUCUAUUGUUAUUAUUUUAUCUUAUAUCUGUAUUUUUACAUUUUUAGCUUUAUAUGUAAUUAAGCUUCCUUCAUUAUAAAAUCCUUUUACUACUAUUGGUGUUUAUAAUUUAUCCCAUUUAUUUUCUGGUAAACAGUUGUAUCUACAUAAGUUUGCUUCUGCUCCUGUAUCUAUCAUAGGUGUAUAAUAUCUAUUAUAAGAUCCUUCUACUAUUAUUUUUACAAGUACAUAUGUUUUCAUAUCAUGUUAAAGUUAUUUUCAUGAACAAUAUGCUUUAUUAUACAUUAUAGAUAAUUGUGUAUGUUCUAUAUUGUAUGGUUUUACUUGUUUUAACCAUUUUAUUCCUAAUAUUAUAUCUGUUUUUUGCAUUUCUUCCUUUAUUUCAAAUUUUAUUUUUAUUUUUCUAACUCCUAUUUUUUUUUCUACCGUAUCCUUAAUGUCUAUUAGGCUUCUUGGUAAAUCUGGCAUAUAUUAUUAUUAGAUUUUAUUUCUUCAUUCUUUUACUAGAUAUUUUGCUAUAUAAUUUUCUUCUUGUCCUGUGUUUAAGAGUAUUAAAUAUUCUUUUUCAUUUAUUGUUCCCGUUAUAUAAUAUUGAUUUAAAUUAACUGUUGAAGUUGUUUAAUAACUUGUUCUUUUUUAUGAAUUUAAUGAUUCUGGUUUUUUUGAGCUAUUCUUUCUGAUGUACUUAUCCUAUCAUUUAUUAUUUUUAAAUCUUCUUCUAUUUCUAUAUUCUUGUAACUAUAGUCAUUAUUAUCAAUUGUUUUUACGAAUUGUUCAAAAGGACUUUCUUUUUAUAUUUUAUUAAUUUUAUUUUUUCCUAUUAUUUUAUGUUUUGUUGUUAGUACAUAUAGAUUUUUUACAUCUUGCUGUAAAUAUUUUACUUCCUGGGGUUAGCUCUAUUCCUGAUAUUUUCCAAUAUAAUACUAAUGAUUUAUCUAUAUUUUUAUCUAUUAUUGCUGCUGAAUAAUUUACAGUUAUUAUAAAUUUAAUUUUUGGUAUAUUAAAUUUCCUUUUAUAGCGGUUAUUAUACUUUUUUCUAUAGGUUUUAUAAUUCUAUUAUCUGCAAAAUAUAAUUCUAUUAGUGUAUCUAUUCCUUCUCUAUAACAUUCUUUUAUUAAUAUCUCUGUUCCUCAAAAGUGUACAUAUUUUAUUGGGUCUUUACUUUUUAUAUCGUUUAUUUUUAUUAAUUAUUCUUUUUGUUACUAGUGGUAUGCUAGCUCUUCCUUUUGCAUAUCUACAAUCUAUUAUAUGUUUCUUUUGACUUACUACGUAGUAUUCUUCUAGUUCUUCCUUUUGCAUAUCUACAAUGUAUUACAUGUUCCUUUUGAGUUACUACGUAGUAUUCUUCCUUUUUUCUACUAAAUAUAUUUUUUAUUGUUGGUAUUUUAAAUAUUUUUUCCACACUUAAGUCUAACUCUUUUCCUUUUAUUUCGUCAAAUGUAUUACUGUCAAAUAUUAUUUUUUGAUUUGUUCUUUCUUCGUUUAAAUAUUCUUUCUUUAUUAUUAUUUUUAUAUCUUCUUCAGUUAUUUGGUCCAUUUUUAUAUCUACUUCAGUCAUUUGAUUCAUUUAAUUCACUAUCUAUUUUAUUAUUUGUUUCAUCCUCCGAAAUUUCAUAUAUACUGUCUUCACUUUCUAAUUCAUAAUCUAUAUAAUCUAUCUGCAUAUAUUCUGUAUUUUCUAUUUUUGUUUUUGAUAUUUGUUUAUUUUUUGGAUUUUUUGGCAAUUUACAAUCUCUAGCUAAAUGUCCUAGUUUUCCGCAAUUAUAACAAGAACAUUCUUUUAUAGAUUUCUUUUUUCUAUAUGGUCCUUUAUGUUUAUAAUUUCUUACAUAAUAUCUUUUUCUUGGUUUCUUAUAUUUAUAUUUUGAUUUUUUGUAUUUCUUAUAUUUCUUAUGUCUUUUUCUUUUCUUAUAAUAUCUUUCUUCACAUUCAAAUUGAGGUGCUAUUUUAUCUUUGCAACAUGCUAAAUUCUUAUUAAUGUUUUUUCUAUUUUUAUUUCUUCUCUAUAUUUUUCACAUAGAUUUCUAUACCAUUAUUGUAAAAAAUUUAUUCUUGCUCCUAGGAUACCUACUAUUUUUGCUUCAUCCCAAUUCUUUAUUAUUUUUGAACUAAAUGGUUCAGGUAAUUUACUAAAAUAUAAUUUUCUUAUUUCUUUACUUUCCUCUAUGUUAUAUGUUUCUUUAUAAUAAUAUUCUUUAAAUGUGCACAUAUAUUCAUCUAUAUAGCAUAUAUUACAUAUUACUAAUUUUAACAUUAAAUUUCUAUUCGUAUCUUUUUCUUUAUUUUGUUCUGCUUCUUCUGUUGUCAUACUGCUAAAUUCAUCACUUAUAGCUAUUUCAUAUUUUUUUCAAUAUUUCUGUUGGUAAUAUUUUGGUAGGUGUUGAUGUUCCUUCUGUUUUUGUAUCAUAUCUUAGUACUUUUUACUUGCUUCGACUAGUUUUAAAAACCAUAAAUUUACUAUUCCUAUUAAUGUCUUUUCUAUAUAUUUUGGUGUGUUUGUUGUAUCAAUUUUAUUAUCUAAUAAUUGUUUUGACAUGUAUCCUACCCAUAGUUGUAUUAUUUUAUUUGUGUCUAUUCCACUGUCUAAAUUUAAAAAGUUAUAAUUAGUUAUUUGUCUUGGUGUCCAUUUAUUAUAUUCAUCCUUUGGAUUAUAUCUUUUAAACUUACUUUUGUAAUUAUAGGUUGGUUUUCUUAUUUCUGAUGUACUAGGUAUUAUAUUUUAAUCUAGAGUAUUUACUUCUGUAUUUAUUAGUUCUAGAUUUUCUUUAUUAAUUAUUUCUUGUUUUUCAUUAAUUUCUAGUUUUUCUAUAUUUUCUAAAAUUUCUGUAUAUGUUUUACUACCUUUCAAGUCAUAAUUAUCUGUUUCCUUAGCAUUUAUUGUAUUUAUUUCUAAUUUAAUGGUUUCUGGUUCUUUAUUGUUUAUUUCUAAUUUUUCUUUAAAUUGAUUUAUCUCAAUUAAUAAUUUUUGUUCUUUAUCUUUUUCUUCUUUUUCUUUCUGUCUUUUUUCAUAUAAAUCUUUUAGCAUUUGUAGU